AAACAUGGACAUCUAUGAGCAGAUUGCAGAGGGGAGGCAGGCGAAGGGGUAUGACGGGGUCAGCAGCAGUGCCAUGUGAAAGCAAAGGAACUGUAGCAGGCUUACCAGGAGCAGUAGCGUAGCUAGGGGGGAGCGGCCGCUCCCCCACUGAGCACAAGUGGUGCCUUGUCAAUGUCUUGGCGCCUUUUAAAUUUUCCCCUGUUGAGGGAACAGGGGGAGCGAUCCAAAAAAAAGGUGCCAACCGCUGCGGUGCUUUUACUCACCCGGCUCACUCCGGGUCUUCGGCGGCACCUCGGCGGUGGGACCUUAAGUGCGGCCGGAGAGACCCGGCGUGAGUGAGGGCCAGCCAUCGGAGUGCCGCCGGGUGAGUAAAAGUGCCGUAGCGGUUGGCACCUUUUUUUGGAUCGCUCCCCCGGUUCGCUCUGCUGGCUACGCAGCUGACCAGGAGGUCAGGGAAGCCAACAGUCGAUCUGGUGCUGAGCCACAGAGCUCCUGGUUUUCUGACGAGUUGCAUGCCAUACUUGGUGCAGACCCCACCAACACCCUGCAGAGCGCCUUGGAUUCCUCUGAGGAGCCUGAGAUGCAGACCCCUGCUGUGAACAGCGAGGAGGAGGAAGAGGAUGGGGGAACAUGUGACCAGGAGCUCCAGCUAUGCUGUGAGCCAGGAUCAGUUUGAGACUCCACCACAGUCUAUUAGUCCCAGCGGGUGAGCCCGAUGCAAAGAAAGGAACCUUGGCUGCUGCCAUUGUGGCCUUGGGGGGGGGGGUGCCAUCUCCACAGCCAUGGAAUGCCUGACCAUGACAAGGAGGAGAAAGAAGAGGACUUGGGAGAUGUUCAGUAAGAUCCUGCAAGCAAGUGCUGCAUCAGACCGUGAGCGCAUGGCACAGAGGAUGAAUGUUAUAGUCACUAUGGAGAAAGAGAAAGAAAGUUGACGGGAGAAAGCCCCGGAAGGAAAAAGAGAGGGAGAUGCACCUGGACAUGAUAGGGCUUCUUCAGCAGUAAACACAGAUGCUGCAGACUCUUGUUGACCAGCAGGUGGUUCAGAAAGCAGGGGCUCACUUCUCUUUGCAGUCAAUGGAAAACUCAAUUGUAGCAUCUCCUUUACCCGCCCCUCCUACCCCCUUCCCGAAAUUUCUUCAUGACAUCAAGGGCUGCAUCCCUUCCAUGCCACACCAGCAGACCAUAAGGACAGCUUCACAUACACUGACCUGUGAGAGCCCUGGGUGCUAUAUGUGUCGCCAAAAUGGUCUGAAAUGGACAUGAAUGUUCUUUCCUCUUGUUAAAUUCUAUCCUGUUAAUUUGUUUCAAAAGUUUUUUAUUUGCUUUUAAUUACACAGAUGUUUUUUGCAUUGGUUUUGUUAUUCAAUAAAAUUCUAUUUUUUGAAAAA